UACGUAGGGGGCAAGCGUUGUCCGGAAUCAUUGGGCGUAAAGAGCGUGUAGGCGGCCCGAUAAGUCCGCCGUGAAAGUCCAGGGCUCAACCCUGGGAUGCCGGUGGAAACUGUCGGGCUAGAGUCCGGAAGAGGCGAGUGGAAUUCCUGGUGUAGCGGUGAAAUGCGCAGAUAUCAGGAGGAACACCCGUGGCGAAGGCGGCUCUCUGGUACGUGACUGACGCUGAGACGCGAAAGCGUGGGGAGCGAUCCGG
rnacentral:rRNA from 1 species